UCGAGAAUUUUUCUCAAUGGGCGAAAGCCUGAAGGAGCGACGCCGCGUGGAGGAUGAAGGUCUUCGGAUUGUAAACUCCUGUCAUGAGGGAGCAAGACACUGCGUUAACUGCGCGGGUGUUUGAUAGUACCUCAAGAGGAAGAGACGGCUAACUCUGUGCCAGCAGCCGCGGUAAUACAGAGGUCUCAAGCGUUGUUCGGAUUCAUUGGGCGUAAAGGGUGCGUAGGCGGCUAGGUAAGUCAGAUGUGAAAUUCCGGGGCUCAACCUCGGAACUGCAUUUGAUACUGCUUGGCUAGAGUACUGGAGAGGAGACUGGAAUUUACGGUGUAGCAGUGAAAUGCGUAGAUAUCGUAAGGAAGGCCAGUGGCGAAGGCGAGUCUCUGGACAGUAACUGACGCUGAGGCACGAAGGCUAGGGGAGCAAACGGG
rnacentral:rRNA from 1 species